UACAGAGGUCUCAAGCGUUGUUCGGAUUCAUUGGGCGUAAAGGGUGCGUAGGUGGUUGUGCAAGUCUGAUGUGAAAUCUCCGGGCUUAACCCGGAAAUGGCAUUGGAAACUGCAUGGCUAGAGGGUUGGAGGGGGGACUGGAAUACUUGGUGUAGCAGUGAAAUGCGUAGAUAUCAAGUGGAACACCAGUGGCGAAGGCGAGUCCCUGGACAACACCUGACACUGAGGCACGAAAGCUAGGGGAGCAAACAGG
rnacentral:rRNA from 1 species